UAUUUCAAAUAUGCCUCUAAGUACAUCCUACUAUUUUUAGAUGGCAGCUACCUAGUACCAGUUCAGUAGUAAAGAGAGUGGUCUAUGACCUUUCCAUCAUCAUUUCAUUGGUAAAACUCAUCUCUCCAACUUUUGCUGAUUUCUGGAAGUACUAAGAAGUUUAAAUUAUCUGUUUUACUUUACUCAAUAUUCAGCUUGGUAAAGGUUAAAAACACUGAUUCUUUCUUUUUCAAUAGUGAAAGAUGUGU
rnacentral:lncRNA from 1 species